rnacentral:rRNA from 1 species
AUUCCAGCUCCAAUAGCGUAUAUUUAAGUUGUUGCAGUUAAAAAGCUCGUAGUUGGACCUUGGGCUGGGCCGGCCGGUCCGCCCCACGGUGUGCACCGGCCUUCCCGUCCCUUCUGCCGGCGAUGCGCUCCUGUCCUUAACUGGACGGGUCGUGCCUCCGGCGCCGUUACUUUGAAGAAAUUAGAGUGCUCAAAGCAAGCCCACGCUCUGGAUACAUUAGCAUGGGAUAACAUCACAGGAUUUCGGUCCUAUUGUGUUGGCUUUCGGGAUCGGAGUAAUGAUUAAGAGGGACAGCCGGGGGCAUUCGUAUUUCAUAGUCAGAGGUGAAAUUCUUGGAUUUAUGAAAGACGAACCACUGCGAAAGCAUUUGCCAAGGAUGUUUUCAUCA